GAUGAACGCUGGCGGCGUGCUUAACACAUGCAAGUCGAACGAUGAAGCCCAGCUUGCUGGGUGGAUUAGUGGCGAACGGGUGAGUAACACGUGAGUAACCUGCCCUUAACUCUGGGAUAAGCCUGGGAAACUGGGUCUAAUACCGGAUAGGAGCGUCCACCGCAUGGUGGGUGUUGGAAAGAUUUAUCGGUUUUGGAUGGACUCGCGGCCUAUCAGCUUGUUGGUGAGGUAAUGGCUCACCAAGGCGACGACGGGUAGCCGGCCUGAGAGGGUGACCGGCGACACUGGGACUGAGACACGGCCCAGACUCCUACGGGAGGCAGCAGUGGGGAAUAUUGCACAAUGGGCGCAAGCCUGAUGCAGAGACGCCGCGUGAGGGAUGACGGCCUUCGGGUUGUAAACCGCUUUCAGUAGGGAAGAAGCGAAAGUGACGGUACCUGCAGAAGAAGCACCGGCUAACUACGUG
rnacentral:rRNA from 1 species